rnacentral:rRNA from 1 species
GAUGAACGCUGGCGGCGUGCCUAAUACAUGCAAGUCGAGCGAACGGACGAGAAGCUUGCUUCUCUGAUGUUAGCGGCGGACGGGUGAGUAACACGUGGAUAACCUACCUAUAAGACUGGGAUAACUUCGGGAAACCGGAGCUAAUACCGGAUAAUAUUUUGAACCGCAUGGUUCAAAAAUGAAAGACGGUCUUGCUGUCACUUAUAGAUGGAUCCGCGCUGCAUUAGCUAGUUGGUAAGGUAACGGCCUACCAAGGCAACGAUGCAUAGCCGACCUGAGAGGGUGAUCGGCCACACUGGAACUGAGACACGGUCCAGACUCCUACGGGAGGCAGCAGUAGGGAAUCUUCCGCAAUGGGCGAAAGCCUGACGGAGCAACGCCGCGUGAGUGAUGAAGGUCUUCGGAUCGUAAAACUCUGUUAUUAGGGAAGAACAUAUGUGUAAGUAACUGUGCACAUCUUGACGGUACCUAAUCAGAAAGCCACGGCUAACUACGUG